GAUGAACGCUGGCGGCGUGCCUAAUACAUGCAAGUCGAGCGAACGGACGAGAAGCUUGCUUCUCUGAUGUUAGCGGCGGACGGGUGAGUAACACGUGGAUAACCUACCUAUAAGACUGGGAUAACUUCGGGAAACCGGAGCUAAUACCGGAUAAUAUUUUGAACCGCAUGGUUCAAAAGUGAAAGACGGUCUUGCUGUCACUUAUAGAUGGAUCCGCGCUGCAUUAGCUAGUUGGUAAGGUAACGGCUUACCAAGGCAACGAUGCAUAGCCGACCUGAGAGGGUGAUCGGCCACACUGGAACUGAGACACGGUCCAGACUCCUACGGGAGGCAGCAGUAGGGAAUCUUCCGCAAUGGGCGAGAGCCUGACGGAGCAACGCCGCGUGAGUGAUGAAGGUCUUCGGAUCGUAAAACUCUGUUAUUAGGGAAGAACAGAUGUGUAAGUAACUGUGCACAUCUUGACGGUACCUAAUCAGAAAGCCACGGCUAACUACGUG
rnacentral:rRNA from 1 species